rnacentral:rRNA from 1 species
GCCUAACACAUGCAAGUCGAGCGGAAACGAGUUAUCUGAACCUUCGGGGGACGUUAACGGCGUCGAGCGGCGGACGGGUGAGUAAUGCCUAGGAAAUUGCCCUGAUGUGGGGGAUAACCAUUGGAAACGAUGGCUAAUACCGCAUGAUGCCUACGGGCCAAAGAGGGGGACCUUCGGGCCUCUCGCGUCAGGAUAUGCCUAGGUGGGAUUAGCUAGUUGGUGAGGUAAGGGCUCACCAAGGCGACGAUCCCUAGCUGGUCUGAGAGGAUGAUCAGCCACACUGGAACUGAGACACGGUCCAGACUCCUACGGGAGGCAGCAGUGGGGAAUAUUGCACAAUGGGCGCAAGCCUGAUGCAGCCAUGCCGCGUGUGUGAAGAAGGCCUUCGGGUUGUAAAGCACUUUCAGUCGUGAGGAAGGUAGUGUAGUUAAUAGCUGCAUUAUUUGACGUUAGCGACAGAAGAAGCACCGGCUAACUCCGUGCCAGCAGCCGCGGUAAUACGGAGGGUGCGAGCGUUAAUCGGAAUUACUGGGCGUAAAGCGCAUGCAGGUGGUUUGUUAAGUCAGAUGUGAAAGCCCGGGGCUCAACCUCGGAAUAGCAUUUGAAACUGGCAGACUAGAGUACUGUAGAGGGGGGUAGAAUUUCAGGUGUAGCGGUGAAAUGCGUAGAGAUCUGAAGGAAUACCGGUGGCGAAGGCGGCCCCCUGGACAGAUACUGACACUCAGAUGCGAAAGCGUGGGGAGCAAACAGGAUUAGAUACCCUGGUAGUCCACGCCGUAAACGAUGUCUACUUGGAGGUUGUGGCCUUGAGCCGUGGCUUUCGGAGCUAACGCGUUAAGUAGACCGCCUGGGGAGUACGGUCGCAAGAUUAAAACUCAAAUGAAUUGACGGGGGCCCGCACAAGCGGUGGAGCAUGUGGUUUAAUUCGAUGCAACGCGAAGAACCUUACCUACUCUUGACAUCCAGAGAACUUUCCAGAGAUGGAUUGGUGCCUUCGGGAACUCUGAGACAGGUGCUGCAUGGCUGUCGUCAGCUCGUGUUGUGAAAUGUUGGGUUAAGUCCCGCAACGAGCGCAACCCUUAUCCUUGUUUGCCAGCGAGUAAUGUCGGGAACUCCAGGGAGACUGCCGGUGAUAAACCGGAGGAAGGUGGGGACGACGUCAAGUCAUCAUGGCCCUUACGAGUAGGGCUACACACGUGCUACAAUGGCGCAUACAGAGGGCGGCCAACUUGCGAAAGUGAGCGAAUCCCAAAAAGUGCGUCGUAGUCCGGAUUGGAGUCUGCAACUCGACUCCAUGAAGUCGGAAUCGCUAGUAAUCGUGGAUCAGAAUGCCACGGUGAAUACGUUCCCGGGCCUUGUACACACCGCCCGUCACACCAUGGGAGUGGGCUGCAAAAGAAGUAGGUAGUUUAACCUUCGGGGGGACGCUUACCACUUUGUGGUUCAUGACUGGGGUGAAGUCGUAACA